AUGGACUGCCGCGACGGUUACAUCCUCCUAUGGAACAAGCUCGAUAGGCCGUCAGUGGACAAGCCCUCCGUCGCCGUCGUGAACCCCAUGACCUGGGCCGUGGACAUCAUCCCGUUGCCCGGCAAUGUCAAGGCUGGGAAACGUCGCAAUUUCGCCUUCCUUGGUUUCCACCUGCUGUGCUCCGAUGAGAAGCCCUCGUCCUUCGGCGUCGUCUGUGUCUGCGGGGAUAAGCUAAGGGUUCGUCUCGCCGUCUUCUCGUCCGAGACGUGGGAUUGGGUUGUCCACCCGUGGGUGGAAAUCUAUGGACGCAAGAAUCUAAAGUUUGGUUCUGGCACACUCGUGGAUGGGUCUGUUUACUGGCCUUUCCAUGGCGAAGGGCGCAUGAUAAGGAUCGACACUGCGACCAUGGAUAUCACAUCUGUGGAUCUACCCCCGCAGGUGACGGUGGAGGGGUGCAAUUUCAUGGCUGGGGAGACCAAGGAUGCCCAACUCUGCAUUGUCUAUGCAUCUGAUGAUUUUGCUCUUCAUGUUUGGACCCGCGGUGUGGAUGGUGAUGGGAUUGAGAUUUGGGUGCCGCAGAAGACAAUUGGUCUGAGUGAAAUUGAUAGGAUCACUAUGGACCUGGAGGGCGACCUCGAAGUCGUGCAGGUUAGGUCUGGAUGCGUGUACUUGUCCACAACAUGCAUGACACCCGUUGGUACAUUCCGCUGCUGGUUCUUCUCCCUUUCACUGGAGACAAUGGAGCUUGAGUUACUGGUCGAGGGAUGCUUUGAUGGGGGUGCCUGUCCGUAUAUUAUGGCCUGGCCUCCUUGUUUGGUUGGUGAUGAUGGGAGCAUCGGACAUGAAGUUGAAGGUUCUCAAUGA
rnacentral:rRNA from 1 species